rnacentral:rRNA from 1 species
GACGAACGCUGGCGGCGUGCUUAACACAUGCGAGUCGAACGGAAAGGCCCUGCUUUUGUGGGGUGCUCGAGUGGCGAACGGGUGAGUAACACGUGAGUAACCUGCCCUUGACUUUGGGAUAACUUCAGGAAAUUGGGGCUAAUACCGGAUAGGAGCUCCUGCUGCAUGGUGGGGGUUGGAAAGUUUCGGCGGUUGGGGAUGGACUCGCGGCUUAUCAGCUUGUUGGUGGGGUAGUGGCUUACCAAGGCUUUGACGGGUAGCCGGCCUGAGAGGGUGACCGGCCACAUUGGGACUGAGAUACGGCCCAGACUCCUACGGGAGGCAGCAGUGGGGAAUAUUGCACAAUGGGCGGAAGCCUGAUGCAGCAACGCCGCGUGCGGGAUGACGGCCUUCGGGUUGUAAACCGCUUUCGCCUGUGACGAAGCGUGAGUGACGGUAAUGGGUAAAGAAGCACCGGCUAACUACGUG